CGCUUGCUGUUGCGCUGACCAGUGUGCGGUAAGGCGUGAGUUAUGUCUGGGAGACUGCCUGAUGGAGGGUGAUAACUAGUGGAUACUGUAGCUAAUGCCGCCUAACGUCACGAGACCAAAGAGGGGAGACCUUUCGGCCUCUUGCGAUCCCAUGUGCCCAGAUCUUAUUAGCUAGUAGGUGGGGUAACGGCUCACCUAGGCGACGAUCCCUAUGCUGGUCUGAGAGGAUGACCAGCCACACUGGAACUGAGACACAGUCCCAGACUCCUACGGGAGGCAGCAGUGGGGAAUAUGGCACAAUGGCCCGCAAGCCUGAUGCAGCCAUGCCGCGUGUAUGAAGAAGGCCUUCGGGUUGUAAAGUACUUUCAGAGGGGAGGAAGGGAGUAAAUGUAAUACCUUUCGCUCAUUGAACGUAUCACCCGCAAGAAGACAGCACCAAUCUAACUCCGUGCCAGCAGCCGCGGUAAUACGGAGGGUGCAAGCGUUAAUCGCAAUUACUGGGCGUAAAGCGCACGCAGGCGGUUUGUUAAGUCAGAUGUGAAAUCCCCGGGCUCAACCUGGAGAACUGCAUCUGGAUACUGGCAAUGCUUGAUGCUCGUAGAGGGGGGUAGAAUUCCAUGGGUA
rnacentral:rRNA from 1 species